GAGUAGGGCGGGACACGUGGUAUCCUGUCUGAAUAUGGGGGGACCAUCCUCCAAGGCUAAAUACUCCUGACUGACCGAUAGUGAACCAGUACCGUGAGGGAAAGGCGAAAAGAACCCCGGCGAGGGGAGUGAAAAAGAACCUGAAACCGUGUACGUACAAGCAGUGGGAGCACCUUCGGGUGUGACUGCGUACCUUUUGUAUAAUGGGUCAGCGACUUAUAUUCUGUAGCAAGGUUAACCGUAUAGGGGAGCCGCAGGGAAACCGAGUCUUAACUGGGCGUUAAGUUGCAGGGUAUAGACCCGAAACCCGGUGAUCUAGCCAUGGGCAGGUUGAAGGUUGGGUAACACUAACUGGAGGACCGAACCGACUAAUGUUGAAAAAUUAGCGGAUGACUUGUGGCUGGGGGUGAAAGGCCAAUCAAACCGGGAGAUAGCUGGUUCUCCCCGAAAGCUAUUUAGGUAGCGCCUCGUGAACUCAUCUUCGGGGGUAGAGCACUGUUUCGGCUAGGGGGUCAUCCCGACUUACCAACCCGAUGCAAACUACGAAUACCGAAGAAUGUUAUCACGGGAGACACACGGCGGGUGCUAACGUCCGUCGUGAAGAGGGAAACAACCCAGACCGCCAGCUAAGGUCCCAAAGUCAUGGUUAAGUGGGAAACGAUGUGGGAAGGCACAGACAGCCAGGAUGUUGGCUUAGAAGCAGCCAUCAUUUAAAGAAAGCGUAAUAGCUCACUGGUCGAGUCGGCCUGCGCGGAAGAUGUAACGGGGCUAAACCAUGCACCGAAGCUGCGGCAGCGACACUAUGUGUUGUUGGGUAGGGGAGCGUUCUGUAAGCCUGCGAAGGUGUGCUGUGAGGCAUGCUGGAGGUAUCAGAAGUGCGAAUGCUGACAUAAGUAACGAUAAAGCGGGUGAAAAGCCCGCUCGCCGGAAGACCAAGGGUUCCUGUCCAACGUUAAUCGGGGCAGGGUGAGUCGACCCCUAAGGCGAGGCCGAAAGGCGUAGUCGAUGGGAAACAGGUUAAUAUUCCUGUACUUGGUGUUACUGCGAAGGGGGGACGGAGAAGGCUAUGUUAGCCGGGCGACGGUUGUCCCGGUUUAAGCAUGUAGGCUGGUUGUCCAGGCAAAUCCGGAUAAUCAAGGCUGAGGUGUGAUGACGAGGCACUACGGUGCUGAAGUAACAAAUGCCCUGCUUCCAGGAAAAGCCUCUAAGCAUCAGGUAACAUCAAAUCGUACCCCAAACCGACACAGGUGGUCAGGUAGAGAAUACCAAGGCGCUUGAGAGAACUCGGGUGAAGGAACUAGGCAAAAUGGUGCCGUAACUUCGGGAGAAGGCACGCUGGUGUGUAGGUGAAGUCCCUGCGGAUGGAGCUGAGACCAGUCGAAGAUACCAGCUGGCUGCAACUGUUUAUUAAAAACACAGCACUGUGCAAACACGAAAGUGGACGUAUACGGUGUGACGCCUGCCCGGUGCCGGAAGGUUAAUUGAUGGGGUUAUCCGUAAGGAGAAGCUCUUGAUCGAAGCCCCGGUAAACGGCGGCCGUAACUAUAACGGUCCUAAGGUAGCGAAAUUCCUUGUCGGGUAAGUUCCGACCUGCACGAAUGGCGUAAUGAUGGCCAGGCUGUCUCCACCCGAGACUCAGUGAAAUUGAACUCGCUGUGAAGAUGCAGUGUACCCGCGGCAAGACGGAAAGACCCCGUGAACCUUUACUAUAGCUUGACACUGAACAUUGAGCCUUGAUGUGUAGGAUAGGUGGGAGGCUUUGAAGCGUGGACGCCAGUCUGCGUGGAGCCAACCUUGAAAUACCACCCUUUAAUGUUUGAUGUUCUAACGUUGGCCCCUGACCGGGGUUGCGGACAGUGUCUGGUGGGUAGUUUGACUGGGGCGGUCUCCUCCCAAAGCGUAACGGAGGAGCACGAAGGUUAGCUAAUCCUGGUCGGACAUCAGGAGGUUAGUGCAAUGGCAUAAGCUAGCUUGACUGCGAGCGUGACGGCGCGAGCAGGUGCGAAAGCAGGUCAUAGUGAUCCGGUGGUUCUGAAUGGAAGGGCCAUCGCUCAACGGAUAAAAGGUACUCCGGGGAUAACAGGCUGAUACCGCCCAAGAGUUCAUAUCGACGGCGGUGUUUGGCACCUCGAUGUCGGCUCAUCACAUCCUGGGGCUGAAGUAGGUCCCAAGGGUAUGGCUGUUCGCCAUUUAAAGUGGUACGCGAGCUGGGUUUAGAACGUCGUGAGACAGUUCGGUCCCUAUCUGCCGUGGGCGCUGGAGAAUUGAGGGGGGCUGCUCCUAGUACGAGAGGACCGGAGUGGACGCAUCACUGGUGUUCGGGUUGUCAUGCCAAUGGCACUGCCCGGUAGCUAAAUGCGGAAGAGAUAAGUGCUGAAAGCAUCUAAGCACGAAACUUGCCCCGAGAUGAGUUCUCCCUGAGACUUUAAGUCUCCUGAAGGAACGUU
rnacentral:rRNA from 1 species